CUUGGACAAGCUUAAGCCGAACUUGUCUGAGGCAACAAAGAGAGCAAAGAGAAAGAUAAAGAUGGAGUCCUCAAAGAAUAAACAUGAUUAAGAGCAGAGCCCACAGCUCCAGAUGUGAAAACCAUGACUCGAUUGUCAGUGAGGAGAGACUGGUCCCUGGGGUUUGCUGACCUCCCAGGGAGCAAUGCAUUUCAGAGAGCUGUCAGAGCAGUUUUCUUCUUUAAGCCCUGGUUUGUUAAUUAUUAUUUUUUAUUAUUUAAAAAAU
rnacentral:lncRNA from 1 species